rnacentral:rRNA from 1 species
GACGAACGCUGGCGGCGUGCUUAACACAUGCAAGUCGAACGGAAAGGCCCUGCUUUUGUGGGGUGCUCGAGUGGCGAACGGGUGAGUAACACGUGAGUAACCUGCCCUUGACUUUGGGAUAACUUCAGGAAACUGGGGCUAAUACCGGAUAGGAGCUCCUGCUGCAUGGUGGGGGUUGGAAAGUUUCGGCGGUUGGGGAUGGACUCGCGGCUUAUCAGCUUGUUGGUGGGGUAGUGGCUUACCAAGGCUUUGACGGGUAGCCGGCCUGAGAGGGUGACCGGCCACAUUGGGACUGAGAUACGGCCCAGACUCCUACGGGAGGCAGCAGUGGAGAAUAUUGCACAAUGGGCGGAAGCCUGAUGCAGCAACGCCGCGUGCGGGAUGACGGCCUUCGGGUUGUAAACCGCUUUCGCCUGUGACGAAGCGUGAGUGACGGUAAUAGGUAAAGAAGCACCGGCUAACUACGUG